UGGAAAUGUUCUGCCAUCCCAGAGGAGACGUCGCUGGGGCGGACUGUAAUCUAGCCCUACGGUGUACCGCAGGAGGAGGAUGUGAUUAGUGUUUUCUGCCAUGGGAUGUCAGCUGAGGGAUAAGAACCAUGUGCCAAGAAGAGGAAAGAGUGGAUGGAUGAAGGCUGUCCCUUCAAACAUGAAGCACAGCAAGCCCAAACCGGAUCCCCGUUCUCCUUGGAGAUCAACCUGCAGGGAUGAUGAGAGAAACGGAGCGAGUCCCCAGCCCUCUCCCAAGCCAAACUGCAAAACCACGGGCUUCACCAAAGCCCUUCGAGCCAGCCCAUCUCCCAGCAAAGUGUCUCUCCCUUUCUCUCAACUCAGGGCUGGAAA